rnacentral:lncRNA from 1 species
UGUCUAGCAAGCAGUUCAAGCGCUCUCGGUUAAGGGAUUUUACUCCGCCUAUAAAAAUAUUCGGAAGUUAUCAUGACAGCUGUUCUUGUAUAAGGAUCUGUUCUAAGAAGAGCGUCCGGAAUGCUUUCGGGUCGGUUUGAUUCCUCUGCCAAAAGCCUGCCCUUUGAGCGGUGAUAAAAGCCUGCGAGGAAUGGAGCAGUUGGCACCCCAGCCUCCAUAGCAGGGUGAGUAAUAGGUGUCUGUCUGAAUUCUGUUGUGUCAGUGUUCCUUGGACGAGGGUGAGAGUAGGAGUACGCUGGCAAGGCAGCGAGCGAGGCUUGACUGGAGAGUGAGAACAACUGUCGCGUGCACUGUGAACGAAAGUGAAAAAAAAAAAAAAAUACAAGAAACACGGAAAGAGAAAACACGCACUGAAAAUGGAAAAAUAAAUCAAGGAAAGAAAGAAAAACAAAAAACAAAUACAAUUGCCUUCGACUCCUCUUCAAGGCGCGAACAAAAAGGUUAUUUUUCUUGUCGUCCAUAGUCGCCUCGUAGCCCGCGGGUCGUAGCGGCAACGACUCGACAACGACGACGACCACAGGCCCCCGAACGACCAAACGACUCUCUAAGGAUGAGAGGAUUAAGGUCGUUCCUGCCGCUAUACGUGGUGGCGGCCGUGGUCGUGCUUGGCCCCUCCACGACCACCUCUGUGCCUCACCACCUUCACCAGAGCUUCCCCGACAACAGACAAGCGGAGUACGUGUCACGCCUCAGAGGACACGAGGUAGUGACGCUCCUGGAGGGUAGACCGCGACGGGAGGUUCCUGGGCCACCACCUCGACAGCGCCCACGAUCCGCGUCCCUCAGCCCACGCCCGCAGCAGAAGGGCCGCCCACAUUCGCUCAGAUCAGGAUGAGGAGGUUCACUAUGUCAUCGCUCUUGACGGGGAGGAGCAUCAGGUGACCCUCCGUCCCAACGCCC